rnacentral:rRNA from 1 species
AUUGAACGCUGGCGGCAUGCUUUACACAUGCAAGUCGAACGGUAACAGGCCGCAAGGUGCUGACGAGUGGCGAACGGGUGAGUAAUGCAUCGGAACGUGCCCAGUCGUGGGGGAUAACGCAGCGAAAGCUGUGCUAAUACCGCAUACGAUCUGUGGAUGAAAGCGGGGGACCUUCGGGCCUCGCGCGAUUGGAGCAACCGAUGUCAGAUUAGGUAGUUGGUGGGGUAAAGGCUCACCAAGCCGACGAUCUGUAGCUGGUCUGAGAGGACGACCAGCCACACUGGGACUGAGACACGGCCCAGACUCCUACGGGAGGCAGCAGUGGGGAAUUGUGGACAAUGGGCGCAAGCCUGAUCCAGCAAUGCCGCGUGCAGGAAGAAGGCCUUCGGGUUGUAAACUGCUUUUCUACGGGGCGAAAAGGCUCCCUCUAAGACAGGGGGCUCAUGACGGUACCGUAAGAAUAAGCACCGGCUAACUACGUGCCAGCCGCCGCCGUAAUAC